UACAGAGGCCUCGAGCGUUAAUCGGAGUCACUGGGCUUAAAGGGCGCGUAGGCGAUCCGACAAGUCUGGUGUGAAAGCCCACAUGUUAACUGUGGAAGUGCAUUAGAAACUGUUGGAUUUGAGUUCAGGAGAGGAAAGCAGAAUUCCCGGUGUAGCGGUGAAAUGCGUAGAGAUCGGGAGGAAUACCAGUGGCGAAGGCGGCUUUCUGGACUGACACUGACGCUGAGGCGCGAAAGCCAGGGGAGCAAACGGG
rnacentral:rRNA from 1 species